rnacentral:rRNA from 1 species
AUUGAACGCUGGCGGCAGGCCUAACACAUGCAAGUCGAGCGGAUGAAGGGAGCUUGCUCCUGGAUUCAGCGGCGGACGGGUGAGUAAUGCCUAGGAAUCUGCCUGGUAGCGGGGGAUAACGUCCGGAAACGGGCGCUAAUACCGCAUACGUCCUGAGGGAGAAAGUGGGGGAUCUUCGGACCUCACGCUAUCAGAUGAGCCUAGGUCGGAUUAGCUAGUUGGUGGGGUAAAGGCCUACCAAGGCGACGAUCCGUAACUGGUCUGAGAGGAUGAUCAGUCACACUGGAACUGAGACACGGUCCAGACUCCUACGGGAGGCAGCAGUGGGGAAUAUUGGACAAUGGGCGAAAGCCUGAUCCAGCCAUGCCGCGUGUGUGAAGAAGGUCUUCGGAUUGUAAAGCACUUUAAGUUGGGAAGAAAGGCAGUAAGUUAAUACCUUGCUGUUUUGACGUUACCAAAAGAAUAAGCACCGGCUAACUUCGUG